UACGAGGGGGCUAGCGUUGCUCGGAAUCACUGGGCGUAAAGGGUGCGUAGGCGGGUCUUUAAGUCAGGGGUGAAGUCCUGGAGCUCAACUCCAGAACUGCCUUUGAUACUGAGGAUCUUGAGUUCGGGAGAGGUGAGUGGAACUGCGAGUGUAGAGGUGAAAUUCGUAGAUAUUCGCAAGAACACCAGUGGCGAAGGCGGCUCACUGGCCCGAUACUGACGCUGAGGCACGAAAGCGUGGGGAGCAAACAGG
rnacentral:rRNA from 1 species